GGAGCCGUAGCGAAAGCGAGUUUUAACUGAGCGUUCAGUUACUUGACGUAGACCCGAAACCGGGCGACCUACCCAUGAGCAGGAUGAAGCGAAAGUAAAAUUUCGUGGAGGUCCGAACCCACGAGCGUUGAAAAGCUCGGGGAUGACUUGUGGGUAGCGGUGAAAUUCCAAUCGAGCCCGGAGAUAGCUGGUUCUCCCCGAAAUAGCUUUAGGGCUAGCCUCAAGGUGAGAGAUACGGAGGUAGAGCACUGAAUGUCCUAGGGGGUAUUGCACCUACCGAAGACUAUCAAACUCCGAAUGCCGUCAUCUUAUACUUGGGAGUCAGACUGUGGGUGAUAAGAUUCAUAGUCGAAAGGGCAACAGCCCAGAUCGUCAGCUAAGGUCCCUAAAUGUAAGUUAAGUGGUAAAGGAUGUGGGAUUGCACAGACAACCAGGAUGUUGGCUUAGAAGCAGCCACUCAUUCAAAGAGUGCGUAAUAGCUCACUGGUCGAGUGAUCCUGCGCCGAAGAUUUCCGGGGCUAAAACUUACUACCGAAGCUACGGCAUCAGUAAUGAUGGGUAGGGGAGCUUCCCAUACGGGUUGAAGCAUGACCGUAAGGACAUGUGGACAGUAUGGGAGUGAGAAUGUUGGCAUGAGUAGCGAGAUGUGGGUGAGAAUCCCACAGGCCGUAAACCCAAGGUUUCCAGGGGAAGGUUCGUCCGCCCUGGGUUAGUCGGGACCUAAGCUGAGGCCGAAAGGCGUAGGUGAUGGACAACAGGUUGAUAUUCCUGUACUACCGAUAACCGUUUGAGAGAAGGGAUGACACAGUAGGAUAAGCUAAGCACACUGUUGGUUAUGUGUGCCCAAGCAUUGAGGCAGUCAAAGUAGGCAAAUCCGCUUUGAUAAUGCUGGGAUGUGAUGGGGAGCGAAAUUUAGUAGCGAAGUAGCUGAUUUCACACUGUCAAGAAAAGUCUCUAUCGAGGUUAAAGGUACCCGUACCGCAAACCGACACAGGUGGGUGAGGAGAGUAUCCUAAGGCCAGCGAGAGAACUGUUGUUAAGGAACUCGGCAAAAUGACCCCGUAACUUAGGGAUAAGGGGUGCCACCAUCAGGUGGCCGCAGAGAAUAGGCCCAAGCGACUGUUUACCAAAAACAUAGGUUUCUGCUAAGUCGCAAGACGAUGUAUAGGAGCUGACGCCUGCCCGGUGCUGGAAGGUUAAGGGGAUCUGUUAGAGCAAUCGAAGCAGUGAACUUAAGCCCCAGUAAACGGCGGCCGUAACUAUAACGGUCCUAAGGUAGCGAAAUUCCUUGUCGGGUAAGUUCCGACCCGCACGAAAGGCGUAACGAUUUGGGCACUGUCUCAACAACAGACUCGGUGAAAUUGUAAUUCCGGUGAAGAUGCCGGAUACCUGCGACAGGACGGAAAGACCCCAUGGAGCUUUACUGUAGCUUGACAUUGGGUCUUGGUACUACAUGUACAGGAUAGGUGGGAGGCUUUGAAACCAGGACGCCAGUUUUGGCGGAGCCAUCCUUGGGAUACCACCCUUGUAGUACUGGGACUCUAACCAUAGGCCAUGAAUCUGGUCUUGGGACACUGUCAGGUGGGCAGUUUGACUGGGGCGGUCGCCUCCCAAAAGGUAACGGAGGCGCUCAAAGGUUCUCUCAGUACGGUCGGAAAUCGUACGUAGAGUGUAAAGGCAAAAGAGAGCUUGAUUGCAAGACAUACAGGUCGAGCAAGGAUGAAAAUCGGACUUAGUGAUCCGGUGGUUCUGCGUGGAAGGGCCAUCGCUCAACGGAUAAAAGCUACCCUGGGGAUAACAGGCUUAUCUCCCCCAAGAGUCCACAUCGACGGGGAGGUUUGGCACCUCGAUGUCGGCUCAUCACAUCCUGGGGCUGUAGUAGGUCCCAAGGGUUGGGCUGUUCGCCCAUUAAAGUGGUACGCGAGCUGGGUUCAGAACGUCGUGAGACAGUUCGGUCCCUAUCCGUCGCAGGCGUAGGAAAUUUGAGAAGACCUGUCCUUAGUACGAGAGGACCGGGAUGGACGUACCUCUGGUGUACCAGUUGUCCUGCCAAGGGCAUGGCUGGGUAGCUAUGUACGGAAUGGAUAAGCGCUGAAAGCAUCUAAGCGCGAAGCCAACUUCAAGAUAAGAUUUCCCACCG
rnacentral:rRNA from 1 species